AUUGAACGCUGGCGGCAGGCCUAACACAUGCAAGUCGAGCGGGGUUUUCGGACCUAGCGGCGGACGGGUGAGUAAUGCGUAGGAAGCUGCCCGAUAGAGGGGGAUACCAGUUGGAAACGACUGUUAGUACCGCAGAAUGUCUACGGACCAAAGUGUGGGACCUUCGGGCCACAUGCUAUCGGAUGCGCCUACGUGGGAUUAGCUAGUUGGUGAGGUAAAGGCUCACCAAGGCGACGAUCUCUAGCUGGUUUGAGAGGAUGAUCAGCCACACUGGACCUGAGACACGGUCCAGCCUCCGACGGGAGGCAGCAGGGGGGAAUAUUGGACAGUGGGCGCAAGCCUGAGCCAGCCAUGCCGAGUGUGUGAAGAAGGCGUUCGGAUUGUAAAGCACUUUCAGCGAGGCGGAAGGGCUGUGUGUUAAUAGUACUCACCUAUGACCUUACUCCCAGCAGAAGCACCGGCUAUCUCUAUGCCAGCCGCCGCCGUAAGAC
rnacentral:rRNA from 1 species